rnacentral:rRNA from 1 species
UACGAAGGGGGCUAGCGUUGUUCGGAAUCACUGGGCGUAAAGCGCACGUAGGCGGGUCGUUAAGUCAGGGGUGAAAUCCCGAGGCUCAACCUCGGAACUGCCUUUGAUACUGGCGACCUUGGAGUCCGGGAGAGGUGAGUGGAACUCCGAGUGUAGAGGUGAAAUUCGUAGAUAUUCGGAAGAACACCAGUGGCGAAGGCGGCUCACUGGCCCGGUACUGACGCUGAGGCACGAAAGCGUGGGGAGCAAACAGG